AGAGUUUGAUCAUGGCUCAGAUUGAACGCUGGCGGCAGGCUUAACACAUGCAAGUCGAGCGGUAACAGGGGGAGCUUGCUUCCCGCUGACGAGCGGCGGACGGGUGAGUAAUGCUUAGGAAUCUGCCCAGUAGUGGGGGAUAGCCCGGGGAAACCCGGAUUAAUACCGCAUACGUCCUACGGGGAGAAAGCAGGGGAUCUUCGGACCUUGCGCUAUUGGAUGAGCCUAAGUCGGAUUAGCUAGUUGGGGGGGUAAAGGCCUACCAAGGCGACGAUCCGUAGCUGGUCUGAGAGGAGAUCAGCCACAUCGGGACUGAGACACGGCCCGAACUCCUACGGGAGGCAGCAGUGGGGAAUAUUGGACAAUGGGGGCAACCCUGAUCCAGCCAUGCCGCGUGUGUGAAGAAGGCUUUCGGGUUGUAAAGCACUUUCAGUAGGGAGGAAAACCUUAUGGCUAAUACCCAUGAGGCUUGACGUUACCUACAGAAGAAGCACCGGCUAACUCCGUGCCAGCAGCCGCGGUAAUACGGAGGGUGCAAGCGUUAAUCGGAAUUACUGGGCGUAAAGCGCGCGUAGGUGGUUUGGUAAGCGAGAUGUGAAAGCCCCGGGCUUAACCUGGGAACGGCAUUUCGAACUGUCAGACUAGAGUGUGGUAGAGGGUAGUGGAAUUUC
rnacentral:rRNA from 1 species